CUUGAGAGCGGCGCACGGGUGCGGAACACGUGUGCAACCUGCCUUUAUCUGGGGGAUAGCCUUUCGAAAGGAAGAUUAAUACCCCAUAAUAUAUUGAGUGGCAUCACUUGAUAUUGAAAACUCCGGUGGAUAGAGAUGGGCACGCGCAAGAUUAGAUAGUUGGUGAGGUAACGGCUCACCAAGUCAAUGAUCUUUAGGGGGCCUGAGAGGGUGAUCCCCCACACUGGUACUGAGACACGGACCAGACUCCUACGGGAGGCAGCAGUGAGGAAUAUUGGACAAUGGGUGAGAGCCUGAUCCAGCCAUCCCGCGUGAAGGACGACUGCCCUAUGGGUUGUAAACUUCUUUUAUACUGGGAUAAACCUACCCUCGUGAGGGUAGCUGAAGGUACAGUAUGAAUAAGCACCGGCUAACUCCGUGCCAGCAGCCGCGGUAAUACGGAGGGUGCAAGCGUUAUCCGGAUUUAUUGGGUUUAAAGGGUCCGUAGGCGGACUCGUAAGUCAGUGGUGAAAUCUCAUAGCUUAACUAUGAAACUGCCAUUGAUACUGCGGGUCUUGAGUAAAGUAGAAGUGGCUGGAAUAAGUAGUGUAGCGGUGAAAUGCAUAGAUAUUACUUAGAACACCAAUUGCGAAGGCAGGUCACUAUGUUUUAACUGACGCUGAUGGACGAAAGCGUGGGGAGCGAACAGGAUUAGAUACCCUGGUAGUCCACGCCGUAAACGAUGCUAACUCGUUUUUGGGUUUUCGGAUUCAGAGACUAAGCGAAAGUGAUAAGUUAGCCACCUGGGGAGUACGUUCGCAAGAAUGAAACUCAAAGGAAUUGACGGGGGCCCGCACAAGCGGUGGAUUAUGUGGUUUAAUUCGAUGAUACGCGAGGAACCUUACCAAGGCUUAAAUGGGAAUUGACAGGUUUAGAAAUAGAUCCUUCUUCGGACAAUUUUCAAGGUGCUGCAUGGUUGUCGUCAGCUCGUGCCGUGAGGUGUUAGGUUAAGUCCUGCAACGAGCGCAACCCCUGUCACUAGUUGCCAUCAUUCAGUUGGGGACUCUAGUGAGACUGCCUACGCAAGUAGAGAGGAAGGUGGGGAUGACGUCAAAUCAUCACGGCCCUUACGCCUUGGGCCACACACGUAAUACAAUGGCCGGUACAGAGGGCAGCUACUAUGCGAAUAGAUGCGAAUCUCGAA
rnacentral:rRNA from 1 species